rnacentral:tRNA from 1 species
GUCGGAGUGGCGGAAUUGGUAGACGCGCCAGGCUAAGGACCUGGUCGGGAGUUUUCCUGGUGGAGGUUCGAGUCCUCUCUCCGACACCG